GGAGUCUGGGCCGUAUCUCAGUCCCAAUGUGUCCGUCCGCCCUCUCAGGCCGGAUACCCGUUGUCGCCACGGUGAGCCGUUACCUCGCCGUCUAGCUGAUGGGCCGCAGGCCGAUCUUUCGGCGGAGCCGAAGCUCCUUUCUUCCAUAGCCUUUACACUACGGAUCGUAUCCGGUAUUACCCCGUAUUUCUACAGGCUGUCCCCGUCCGAAAGGUACAUCACCCACGUGUUACUCACCAGUCCGCCGCUCUCAUAUAGGGCAAGCCCCAUAUUCCCGCUCGACUUGCAUGGUUAAGACGCGCCGCCAGUGUUCGUU
rnacentral:rRNA from 1 species